rnacentral:miRNA from 1 species
GUAUGUUUACCAUGUGCAUGUAGGUUCAGAUCCCUAGAAACCAGAGUUGCAGGUGUUUGUGAACUGACCUGGAUGUUAGGAACUGAGCAUACAUCCUCUUUCUACAA